rnacentral:tRNA from 1 species
GGAUAGGUGCCUGAGUGAUUUAAGGCAGCAGCUCGCAAGGGCUGCUAUGCGACGCAAGUCGCAUCGGAGGUUCGAAUCCUUCCCCUGUCCCCCA